rnacentral:rRNA from 1 species
GACGAACGCUGGCGGCGUGCUUAACACAUGCAAGUCGAACGGAAAGGCCCUGCUUUUGUGGGGUGCUCGAGUGGCGAACGGGUGAGUAACACGUGAGUAACCUGCCCUUGACUUUGGGAUAACUUCAGGAAACUGGGGCUAAUACCGGAUAGGAGCUCCUGCUGCAUGGUGGGGGUUGGAAAGUUUCGGCGGUUGGGGAUGGACUCGCGGCUUAUCAGCUUGUUGGUGGGGUAGUGGCUUACCAAGGGUUUGACGGGUAGCCGGCCUGUGAGGGUGACCGGCCAAAUUGGGACUGAGAUACGGCCCAGAAUCCAACGGGAGGCAGCAGUGGGGAAUAUUGCACAAUGGGCGGAAGCAUGAUGCAGAAACGCCGCGUGCGGGAUGACGGCCUUCGGGUUGUAAACCGAUUUCGCCUGUGACGAAGCGUGAGUGACGGUAAUGGGUAAAGAAGCACCGGCUAACUACGUG